rnacentral:pre_miRNA from 1 species
UAUCUACUCCCUCCGUUCGGAAUUACUUGUCUCGGAAAUGGAUGUAUUUAGAACUAAAAUACGUCUAGAUGCAUCCAUUUCCGAGACAAGUAAUUCCGAACGGAGGGAGUACGUG